rnacentral:rRNA from 1 species
GGGGCAGGUCGGGGCUACAAUGCAGUCGAGCGGUGGAUUAAGAGCGUGCUCUUAUGAAGUUAGCGGCGGACGGGUGAGGAACACGUGGGUAACCUGCCCUGGGGACUGGGAUAACUCCGGGAAACCGGGGCUAAUACCGGAUAAAAUUUUGAACCGCAGGGUUCUAAAUUGAAAGGCGGCUUCGGCUGUCCCUUAUGGAUGGACCCGCGUCGCAGUAUCUAGUUGGUGAGGUAACGGCUCACCAAGGCAACCAUGCGUAACCAACCUGAGAGGGUGAUCGGCCACACUGGGACUGAGACACGGCCCAGACUCCUACGGGAGGCAUCAAUAGGGAAUCUUCCCCAGUGGACGAAAGUCUGACGGAGCAACGCCGCGUGAUUGAUUAAGGCUUUCUUGUCGUAAAACUCUGUUGUUAGGGAAUAACAAGUGCUAAUUGAAUAAGCUGGCCCCUUGACGGUACCUAACCAGAACGCCGCGGCUAACUACGUGCCAACAGCCGCGGUAAUACUUAAGUGGCAAGCGUUAUCCGAAAUUAUUGGGCGUAGGGCGCGCGCAGGUGGUUUCUUAACUCUGAUGUUAAAGCCCACGGCUCAACCGAGGAUGGUCAUUGGAAACUGGGAGACUUGAGUGCAAAAUAGGAAUGUGCAAUUGCAUGUGUAACGAGCAAAGGCGUAGAGAGAUGGAGGAACACCACUUCCGAGGCAAGUUGCUGGUCUGUGAGGGGGCAGU